GCCCGACUAGCUCAAUCGGUAGAGCGUGAGACUCUUAAUCUCAAGGCUGCGGGUUCGAGCCCCGCGUUGGGCU